UACGUAGGGUGCAAGCGUUAAUCGGAAUUACUGGGCGUAAAGCGUGCGCAGGCGGUUUUGUAAGUCUGCUGUGAAAGCCCCGGGCUCAACCUGGGAAUGGCGGUGGAUACUGAGGAGCUGGAGUACGGUAGAGGAAGGUGGAAUUCCCGGUGUAGCGGUGAAAUGCGUAGAGAUCGGGAGGAACAUCAGUGGCGAAGGCGCUUUACUGGGCGGUUACUGACACUGAGGGACGAAAGCAAGGGGAGCAAACAGG
rnacentral:rRNA from 1 species